UCAAGCUCCAGCGCCAGCGCCGCUUCCCAUCCAUUGCUCUGCCAUCCCGCUGAGAUUUCGGAUGAAUCGGGCCCGGCUGCUACAAGCGAACGGGGAAGAGCCACCGGCUUCUGCAGAAGAGCAACUGUCCAAUUCAACCUCCUCAACUGGAAAGCUGAAGGCAUCAUGUACAGACAGAAUCCUCACCAAGAUAGUGGCAGUGAGGAACUUAUGUGACAAUGAACCUCAACUCCAGUCACUUGCCAGAGAUGUUACAACCAUGACGGUACUCAAGGAGGGAGAUCAAUUCAAAGGGGCUUCCCUGCUGCUGACUGCAGAGGCAGAUCCUCGCACGGUCUUGGGUCACUGCCAAAUACAUUACAAUUGAUGAUGUGGACAAUUUCCAUCAUCUGCAAGAUUUUGCUAAUCUAGCAUAAGUUUUGUUGUUGUAGCCUGAUUACCAAAAGAGUUAUGCAACACCAUUUAGUGGCUGAGAAGUUCUUGGCAGCAGCCACUGAGGUUGCUUCCACUGGAUAUACUUAUUGAAAUAGCUGACACAUUCAUUAUUACAAAAAUGGAAAUGAGGACUUGCAGGGCUGAUUUAAGAGGAGCAUUAAGAAGGUAAUCAUUCUGUUAACUGCCAGUUUUAUCUCUGCGGCAAUUAAUGUGCAAAAGCAACAAGAUCUGGAGAUCAGCAGAUGUCUGUGUGAAGCAAAUGUCAGUGUAAAUCAAUCAGCAAGUACCAGAGUUUUGAAAUUCUUCUCACUUCUUUUAUCCACACCCCCUUCAAAAUGCAGACUUGAUUAUACAUUAAUGACAACAUGUGUUUGUAACACAGUUAUUAUUCCAAUAAGACCUUGCCCAUUGAAUCCUAGUAAAGGCACAUAGUGAUCUCAGAGCAAAUAAGUGUGCCAAAUUUUCCUGGAAACAUUGUUUGUACCAUAGCUGUAACUUUAUCUGAAAGGCUGCAUUGUUAGCACGGUACUGUUUCACCCCCACAUUCUUCUGCUGAAUUAGAUCAAGCCCACAGUAUUAUCCACGAUAUAUUAAAAAAAACAUUCACAUACUUUAUCCAAGGAAGGUGGGACUUGUAUAGAAGGGAUGGUUUGCGCCUAAAUUAAGGAGGGACUAACAUCAUAGCAGGAAAGUUUGCUAGUGCUCCACAAAGAGUUUAAACUAGAGUUGCAGCAGGAUGGGAACCAGAGUUCCAGAACCGACAGUGGAGUGGUUGUGGCAAAAGAUGUUGUUAAGCCUACAUACAAGUACAGAUGCAAAGGGCCAAAUUGCAACCUUUUCCAUUAUGGGCCUUCUACAGUUCAAUUGUGCCCGACAAGGUGCACCAUCCCAUGUCCUGCAUACCACGAUCAGAUGCAGACGGCCUGGAGUCAGCCAGUGAGAGUUCAAAGACAACAAGGCUAAAGCAGAUACUGCAGUAACUUCAAAAGACAAUUGGGCACAAACUCAAAGGAAAAAUCCACUGGACUGGAUCACUGUACAGAAAAGAUUCAUUUCCAGGUCUACAGGAAAACGACAGAGGCAUAGCUAAGAAGUUCUCCUUGAAGACUGACAUAGAUCCAUAAGACCGUAAGACAUAGGAGCAGAAUUAUGCUACUCAGCCCAGCGAGUCUGCUCCAUUAUUUUAUCAUGGCUGAAACAUUUCCUUCUCAACCCCAUUCUCCUGCCUUCUCUCCAUAACCUUUCAUGACCUGACUUAUCAAAAAUCUAUCAACCUCUGCCUUCUAUGCACCCAGUGACUUUGCUUCCACAGCUGCCUGUGGCAAUAAGUUCCACAGAUUCACCACCCUCUGGUUAAAGAAAUUCCUCCUUGAAAAAGUAUCUAGUGCUUUCUUGGUGUAUAUGACCAAUAAACUCUUCCUGAACUUGCAGCCAGUUACGGGUAUUGAUUAUAACGGACAUUUCGAUGACAAACUCUGCCAUCUUCUUCAGGGAUGAUGCCUGGGCAAAUCUAGUCCAGCGGUAUGAGGGUAUAAAUGUCAGUUAAAAUCGGUACCUGUACCCGCUGGAAGCCCGAGAAGAGUUUAAAUACCUCCUUAACUCUGUUCUAAAAGGAUGUCCCUCUGUUUUGAGGAGGUGUGGAGGUGUCCUCUGGUCCUAGAUUCUCUCACCAGAGGAAACAUCCUCUUCACAUCCAUUCUAUUUAGGCCUUUCAACAUUCGAUGGGUUUCAAAGAGAUCCCCCCUCCCCCCCAUUCUUCUAAAUUCCCAUGAGCACAGGCCUAGGCCUUUCAAUGGCUGCUUAUGUGACAACCCUUUCAUUCCCGGAAUCAUUCUCAUGAACCUCCUCUAAACCCCCUCCAAUGCCAGCACAUCCAUUUUUAAAUAAGGGACACAAAACUGCUCAUAAUACUCCAAAUGAGGUCUCACCAGUGACUUAUACAGCCUCAGCAUUACACCCUUGCUUUUAUAUUCUACUCCAUUUGAAAUGAAUGCUAAUGUUGCAUUCGUCUUCCUUAACACUAAUUCAGCCUGAAAAUUAACCUGGGGGGGAGUCAUGCCUGAGGGCUUCCAAAUCCCUUUGCACCCUGGAUUUUCGAAUUUUAUUUUUGUUUAGAAAAUAGUCUAUACUUUCAUUCUUUCUACCAAAGUGCAUGACCAUACACUUCCCCACAAUGUGUUUCAUGUGCCGCCUCUUUGCCCAUUCUCCUAAUCUGUCUACAUCCAUCUGCAGCCUCUCUGAUUCCUUAAUACUACACUGCCCCUCCACCUAUCUUCAUAUCACUUGCAAAGCCAUCAUCCAAAUCUUUGACAUACAAAGUAAAAAGAAGCAGUCCCUACACCGACCCCUGUCAAACACUACUAGUCACUGGCAGCCAAUCUGCAAAGGGCCCCUUUAUUCCCACUCUUUGCCUCCUGCCAAUCAGCCAGUGCUGUAUUCGUUAUAGUAAUAACUUGGGCUCUUAACUUAUUAAGCAGCCUCGUGUGCAGCACCUUGACAAAAAUUUUCUGAAAAUCCAAGUACACAAGUUCCACCAAUUCUCCUUUAUCUAUCCUGCAUGUUAUUUCUUUAAUGAAUUCCAACAGAUUUGUCAGGCAACAUUUUUCCUUAAGUAAACCAUGCUGGUCUUGGCCUAUUUUAUCAUGUGCCUCUAACCACACCCUUAACAAUUGACCCAACAUCUUCUCAACUACUGACGUCAGGCUAACUGGUCUAUAAUUUCCUUUCUUCUGCCUCCCUCCCUUCUUGCAGAGUGGAGUGAUGUUUGCAAUUUUCCGGUUCUCCGCACCACACCAGAAUCUAUUGUUUCUUAAAAGACCGUUACCAAUAUCUUCACAAUCUCUGCAGCUACCUUUUUUAGAACUGAGGUAUAGUCCAUCAGGUCCAGGUAACAUAACUAUCUUCAGACCUUACAGUUUCCCAAGCACCAUGUUCCUAGUGAUAACAACUGCACUCACUUCUGCCCCCUUGGUACUCUCAAACUUCCAGCUAGUGUUUUCCUGAGUGAAGACUGAUGCAAAAUACUUACUUAAAAUACUUACUUAGUUUGUCUGCCAUUUCCUUGUCCCCUGUUACUAUCUCUCCAAUAUCUACUCUCUCCUCUCUUUUACUCUUUAUAUAUCUGAAAAAAAACCUUUGGUAUUAUUUUUACUAUUAUUGGCUAGCUUACCUUCACAUUUCAUCUUUUGCCCCUUCUGUUAUUUUUUAGUGCCUUCUGUCAGUUUUUUAAAAAAUUCUCAAUCCUCUAACUUUCCACUAAUUUUUGCUCUAUUGUAUGCCGUCACUUUUGCUUUUAUGUUGGCUUUGACUUCCUUUGCCAGCCACGGGUGUGUCAUCCUGUCUGUGGAUAGUAUUCAACCCAAUGGGUUGAAUACCUUCCUUUCUGGCUUAUGGUAAGUUAACAAAUCACAAUUUGAUUUAUUAAACGAUGUCUUAGCUGUGUGAUAGUUUCUUUUUUCUGAAGCAUUGCAAACUGUGCACUGACAUUUCACAAACAAGUUUUCACUUUAAUUUCCAGCUAGUCAUUUUCAUUCUUGGGACAUUUCUUAUUGCCCUCUCAGCUGGCAAAAAUAAGUUACAUAGAAAUGGCAUGUUGUUAUCCACCUUUUUAAAGCUUAAACAAAUAAAGCUUCAUAUAAUAUUUCUACUGAUCUUUGUUUUAUGAAAAAUAUUGCAAUCUGUUACUUUAUUAUUAAUGCUAUUCUUUUGGGGAUUUGCUUAACAAUAACACUUGAUUGAUUAAGACAGUAAAGGAUUAUGAAAUGGUCGUCAUGGAGCCAGACAAUGGUAAAGCUCAAAAUAUUACAAACUUGGUUGAAUGAUUUAAUCUUUGAUGUUAGUUGACAAAGCAUAAUGGAUUUGGACAGUUGCUAUGUGAGACUGUGGAACAUGAGAC